CGUCAGAUGAACGCUGGCGGCGUGCCUAAUACAUGCAAGUCGAGCGAACGGACGAGAAGCUUGCUUCUCUGAUGUUAGCGGCGGACGGGUGAGUAACACGUGGAUAACCUACCUAUAAGACUGGGAUAACUUCGGGAAACCGGAGCUAAUACCGGAUAAUAUUUUGAACCGCAUGGUUCAAAAGUGAAAGACGGUCUUGCUGUCACUUAUAGAUGGAUCCGCGCUGCAUUAGCUAGUUGGUAAGGUAACGGCUUACCAAGGCAACGAUGCAUAGCCGACCUGAGAGGGUGAUCGGCCACACUGGAACUGAGACACGGUCCAGACUCCUACGGGAGGCAGCAGUAGGGAAUCUUCCGCAAUGGGCGAAAGCCUGACGGAGCAACGCCGCGUGAGUGAUGAAGGUCUUCGGAUCGUAAAACUCUGUUAUUAGGGAAGAACAUAUGUGUAAGUAACUGUGCACAUCUUGACGGUACCUAAUCAGAAAGCCACGGCUAACUACGUGCCAGCAGCCGCGGUAAUACGUAGGUGGCAAGCGUUAUCCGGAAUUAUUGGGCGUAAAGCGCGCGUAGGCGGUUUUUUAAGUCUGAUGUGAAAGCCCACGGCUCAACCGUGGAGGGUCAUUGGAAACUGGAAAACUUGAGUGCAGAAGAGGAAAGUGGAAUUCCAUGUGUAGCGGUGAAAUGCGCAGAGAUAUGGAGGAACACCAGUGGCGAAGGCGACUUUCUGGUCUGUAACUGACGCUGAUGUGCGAAAGCGUGGGGAUCAAACAGGAUUAGAUACCCUGGUAGUCCACGCCGUAAACGAUGAGUGCUAAGUGUUAGGGGGUUUCCGCCCCUUAGUGCUGCAGCUAACGCAUUAAGCACUCCGCCUGGGGAGUACGACCGCAAGGUUGAAACUCAAAGGAAUUGACGGGGACCCGCACAAGCGGUGGAGCAUGUGGUUUAAUUCGAAGCAACGCGAAGAACCUUACCAAAUCUUGACAUCCUUUGACAACUCUAGAGAUAGAGCCUUCCCCUUCGGGGGACAAAGUGACAGGUGGUGCAUGGUUGUCGUCAGCUCGUGUCGUGAGAUGUUGGGUUAAGUCCCGCAACGAGCGCAACCCUUAAGCUUAGUUGCCAUCAUUAAGUUGGGCACUCUAAGUUGACUGCCGGUGACAAACCGGAGGAAGGUGGGGAUGACGUCAAAUCAUCAUGCCCCUUAUGAUUUGGGCUACACACGUGCUACAAUGGACAAUACAAAGGGCAGCGAAACCGCGAGGUCAAGCAAAUCCCAUAAAGUUGUUCUCAGUUCGGAUUGUAGUCUGCAACUCGACUACAUGAAGCUGGAAUCGCUAGUAAUCGUAGAUCAGCAUGCUACGGUGAAUACGUUCCCGGGUCUUGUACACACCGCCCGUCACACCACGAGAGUUUGUAACACCCGAAGCCGGUGGAGUAACCUUUUAGGAGCUAGCCGUCGAAGGUGGGACAAAUGAUUGGGGUGAAGUCUAAAAGGGGG
rnacentral:rRNA from 1 species